rfam:Myotis davidii contig221359, whole genome shotgun sequence.
GGCAGUUCUCGGGUGACGCACCCCAGAAUCAGGCUCCCUCCUCUCUGGUACCAGGUGUGUCACCUGAGAACCACA